UCCUUACUCCUACGGGAGGCAGCAGUAAGGAAUAUUGGUCAAUGGACGCAAGUCUGAACCAGCCAUGCCGCGUGGAGGAUGAAGGUCCUCUGGAUUGUAAACUUCUUUUAUCUGGGAAGAAAUGGUUGCUUUCUAGCGAUCUUGACGGUACCAGAUGAAUAAGCACCGGCUAACUCCGUGCCAGCAGCCGCGGUAAUA
rnacentral:rRNA from 1 species